CUUUGCUGCAUCCGAUAGACUCGGAUCUCAAUCCUCGGUUAGUUUUCUGCCAGUAUAUUGAUUUUGAGAUAUAUGUAACGUCCUUGUUGUUCGUUGUUGCAGUUUUUUCUUGUAUGUAAAUUUGAAGUUUUGAUAAUUUAUAGAACAAUGGUCAUUCAUUUUUAUUUCGUUUGUCAUCAAUUGAAUGUAAGGCUAUACCUUUAGCAGCUCUAAUGAAUUAGCCUAUUCUGAGCUAUGUAUGUUUAGAAGUACUGAUGAGUCUUGUUUGUUAGGAAAGGUCAUACCCUAGAGUCGAGAAGAGAAAGUUUGUGAGGUGUUACACCGUACAGAUUUCACCUCAAUUGUGGUUAUAGUCACCCUUAUAAAUAUCCGAAUAUAAAGGGUAUUAGAACGAGUUUAAGAUUUUGUAGCCACAUUAUCCGAAUGUUCAAGCUUCAGCGAUGGGCAAAUACCAGGAAGGUGCCUUGUAACUACUUUUGGACGCAAAUAGGCAGAAAAGAGCCUUUAACCACUAGUAUUAAAUAGUCUAAAAACGUGAAUUCAUAGGACCAGAUUAUGUUAUUGAUAAUGUAUUUUGAAACCCUUUUGUCAUUUUUUUUUUAAUUUUAUUGAAAAUUUUAUUUUGACUUCGAGUUGUCAAUCGAGAAUUUAAAUCUUAAAAAUUUUUGAAAUUCUAAUUCAUUGAUGAGCUAUGCUUGGUGUAAGCUAGUUUGACAGCCCCCUCACAUGCGAGGGGGUCCACGCUAAAUAUUUUAGUGGAAAUUACAUCAGGUGUCAACUUUUGGCUUUUUAUUUACAAAAAUGUCACUUUUUUAAAGUCAUUGCAAGAUUGUCAAUUUUUGACAAUUUUGCCCCUCUAGAUAAUUUAAAAUACCCUUCACAUCCUUCAUUAAAUAUAGAUUUGACUAGAUGAAAAAAUAGUACAAAAAAUUUUAAAAUAUCACAUCUCUCAUCUCACUAAAUUGUUGACAAUUUAUCUUCUAAUUAAUGAAAAAAAUUGAUGGAGAUUUUCAUUUUCCUCUCCAACCGACUCUAGCUCUCCC
rnacentral:lncRNA from 1 species